AAACUUUCAACGUCUACUGCAAAGCUGCAGGUCACUGGCCUGAUUGUCAAGUGGAUUGUUCUAACCUGUAAUGGCCACCCACCCGCACUAAUCAGAGCGGUGUUGUGGCCAGAAUUUUCCUGAUUCAAAUUCUGACCAGGGAAAUACUUCCUGUAUGUAAUCGAAAUAGUAUUUUCCCCAGAUAACAAUUAAGGCUUUUGCUUGUAGUAAUAAUCAGCAUAAAACAGUCCUAACCGUACUCAGCUGUCAAAGUUGAUUCUAAUCUGUCACAGGUGCCCUAAUUCUACGCUUUACAAUUGAACACACGAAUCAGAAUAAGACAAAUGCCGUAGAGCCAUACGAUAAAUCCAAUUCGCUCUCUGAAAACCUCGAUGUCGACUACGAAGCUCAAAUGAAGUUACGUUUACGGAAGUCCGUGGGGCGCAUUACAAGAAUGGCGUUAACAUACAAUGGAGGCAUACAAUCGAACCGCUAAAAAACUAGGUCCUUAUCAUCAAAUAUUGAAAAGACAACUGCCGAACAACUGUAACCCUUAUUUCAUUACUUAUUCAAAUCCGAUUAAUAUUUAGCACUACAAAUGCCGUUCCACCUCUAUAAACACAUAUACAAGCUCCUUAUCAUAAGCCAUUAGUCUUCCAAUAAUCGGUAACGUGUUGAUAAGGUAAAAGUUCGAAGAUUCCGUAAUAAGUACUUAGCGUGAAUGAGGCUAGAUUAAUAACAGACACCUCUGUACGAAAUGCAUUAUCUUCGCCAUUUUACAAUCUUUACGUUUAUAACAUACGUGGCGCUUCGUGAAAUACCGAUUAUAUCCUUCCUAGUAAAGUUCUCUCUGUUAGGACAAACAUUCGAAAUAUACGGGUAUCCGCAGUUGCUGCUUGGCUUAUCGUUCUAAAAUAUGGGUGAUUUAAGUAACGUGGAACGCCUACGCUUCUAUGCGCUUUUACAUUUUAACUAAUCAAUUUUUCACAGCGAUGCGCCACAAGCUAUGCUGAGGUAGCGCCUCGGCAAUAUAGAUCGGUUGUUGAUCAGUCCCAUCUCUGAUUCAUUAAAUACUAAUAAUAUAACGUUCUUUGAAGUUUAAAAUGAAGUUUGUUCCGCGAGUUCACAAUUUGCCGGUAUUGUUUGUUGGGCUUCAGAACAGUUUGCUGGUUUGCGCGGGCUAACAGCGAUAUCAAUACAUGGUCUCGCCUGACAGCGGUUUUACGGAAAAAAGUACAUCAUCCAAUUACGAAUUUAAGGACGCGUGACAAACGCACCCAAAUGACUGGCUUAUAGGAUGAAUAAUAUAACGUAACAACGAUGCUGUAAUAUGGACUGAAGCUUUGCUACAGGUGCAUUUCGCGACGGCACUUGAGCUUAAGCGCACUCAGUGAUUUUCGAAAUUGGGACUCCCAUAUGCCCACUCGUAUAAAUCAGAUAGCAUCACGUUCCGUGAAAUGCAACCCAACCCGUCUCUAGGUGGCGCUACUACAAAACGCCCGGCGUCGCUUUGUAACAGCCAAGGCAGACCCUCGAUGCUUUCGCACGUGCUGACGAAACACGCCCUUGCUCUCUGCUAAACAAGGCAUUUUGCCUCAACGUGGCGAUUACAAGCAUGGCAGCUCUAUAUCAUUAAAAGUGAGUGUGGGCCUUCAAUCGAUACUCUGUCUAAUUUCCCAGCGGUUCACACGGUGUGCUGGCACCCCUGCGGCACCCCACACGCCCUCCUAAGUAGAGCUGACGACGGACAAUCGGCACUGGUUCUGUCUAUUUCCACAUGUCUACUCUAUUACCAUGAGCUCCUGUCAGCCAAUUUGUGCCUUUAGCUAUGUCAAACCCCGCGUCUGCUUCGACAGGAGCCUUUCGAGAACCGCCUCGGUCUUGCGUGAAGUGCCCGCCAUGAGCUGGCCCACACGCCCCACGCCGAGAGAAGGACGGAGAAAUACAACACGAAACGUAGGAGAACCAUAAGAGAAAAAAGAACGACGGACUGGGAAAGAAAAUUGACUAGUACUCAUAUCUUCUCGUACGCGCCAGAACAAGAAAGCGCAACUAACCUACUUAGACGGCCACGAAAGGCUGCCGGGCCGCAUGACCCUGGACAGUAUUGAGGUUAAGGCCAAUUCGGGUUUUUAAGGUGGUAAAAGCUUAUUCUGAGAAAGCCCUGCAUUUCGAGCACGAUGGCUCGUAGCAGUAGCAUUUUGCCUCCAAAUCUGACGUGAUCAUAGACCCAGGUGACGUUUGGAAUACAAGUUCCUCGCUCUGAAUGAGAGAGAGAGCGUUACUCCUGCUCUUUCUCUGAGCAAUCAAAAACAACGUGAGAACAGCAUGUGAACAAGAGGAGCAACCAGCACUAAUACAGAAUGCUACGACGGCCUGUCCUGUCGCCCUCGAAAACCUUGUAUCUGAUAUAGAUUCAGUUGAAAGCAAUAGAGUUCGAAGGUGGACGCGGGUUGUCCCUUGAUUCGUAACUGGUUGUCUACGGUGGUGGUAACUACGACGACAGAAAUGGCCGAUACUUUUGAGGUACCUAUAUGAGGCCGCCGACGUUCGGGGCCUGCCGUAAGGAUAUCGACAAUUGACAUCGGCAACCACGACAAUCUAAAAAUGAAGGACGAGUCAAAAGUCUUGUGCAGACGCCCAUGGGCGAAGCUAUCACGCAGAUUCGAUUAGAGCGGGACACAAAGAGAGAAACAUUAAUCGAUUCCGAAUGCGGUUACUGUGUUCAGGGUGAG